ACCUCACAUAGGAGCAUUAACAACAUUAAAUCCGGGUGAAGGAUGAAGCUGUCAGUCGGCCAUGUUUGAAAACCGCCAAAAAAAGUUGUUUUAAAAACGCUCACCUGCUGCUUCUGAAGGUAUGUCCAGACUCCCCAGAGUAGAUGGAUGGAUGAUGGGAAGCAAUGGCAGCUUGUACAGCAAAGAGAUUGAAGAGAGACCGAACGCACAGAGAGACAAGCAGCUUCAGGUCGUCUCUCUGGGGAGAGCUCCCGACUCCCCACUGAGCCUCCAGCACCUCCAGCUGGUUGAUGUGUCCUCCCUG